rnacentral:rRNA from 1 species
GACGAACGCUGGCGGCGUGCCUAAUACAUGCAAGUCGAGCGGAUCUUGUCCUUCGGGAUAAGGUUAGCGGCGGACGGGUGAGUAACACGUAGGCAACCUGCCCUCGAGACUGGGAUAACCUCCGGAAACGGAUGCUAAUACCAGAUACGCGAUCUUCCCUCCUGGGGAGAUCGGGAAAGACGGAGCAAUCUGUUACUCGGGGAUGGGCCUGCGGCGCAUUAGCUAGUUGGUGAGGUAACGGCUCACCAAGGCGACGAUGCGUAGCCGACCUGAGAGGGUGAUCGGCCACACUGGGACUGAGACACGGCCCAGACUCCUACGGGAGGCAGCAGUAGGGAAUCUUCCGCAAUGGACGAAAGUCUGACGGAGCAACGCCGCGUGAGUGAGGAAGGCCUUCGGGUCGUAAAGCUCUGUUGCCAGGGAAGAACGCUUGGGAGAGUAACUGCUCCCAAGGUGACGGACCUGAGAAGAAAGCC